rnacentral:rRNA from 1 species
GAUGAACGCUAGCUACAGGCUUAACACAUGCAAGUCGAGGGGAAACGAUAUUGGAAGCUUGCUUCCGAUAGGCGUCGACCGGCGCACGGGUGAGUAACGCGUAUCCAACCUGCCCACCACUUGGGGAUAACCUUGCGAAAGUAAGACUAAUACCCAAUGAUAUCUCUAGAAGACAUCUGAAGGAGAUUAAAGAUUUAUCGGUGAUGGAUGGGGAUGCGUCUGAUUAGCUUGUUGGCGGGGUAACGGCCCACCAAGGCGACGAUCAGUAGGGGGUCUGAGAGGAAGGUCCCCCACAUUGGAACUGAGACACGGUCCAAACUCCUACGGGAGGCAGCGGUGAGGAAUAUUGGUCAAUGGACGAGAGUCUGAACCAGCCAAGUAGCGUGCAGGAUGACGGCCCUAUGGGUUGUAAACUGCUUUUAUAAGGGAAUAAAGUGAGCCUCGUGAGGCUUUUUGCAUGUACCUUAUGAAUAAGGACCGGCUAAUUCCGUGCCAGCCGCCGCGGUAA